AAUGCAACAUCAGCAUGAGAAAUAUUAUUUCAUCCAGAAAAAGAGGAACAAUAUAUCUACUGCUUCAAGGGCAGGUGAAACGUAAUAAAAAUGCAUGCCACCCGUAUUUCUCGCACACAUUUGCUACCCAUCCAAGAACAGCAAAAAUGGCAAUGUUAUAACCUUAAAAGUACGAUGGUUUGUGGAGGUUUGCCUGGAACUUGUCGAUCAUUUUUUGGAAAUAGUGUCCUACAUAGCAUUUGGGAUUGUAUGAUUGGUUAAACCAUGAAGUUUUGGCGGUGAAUAAUCAUACUGCAUUUAACGCUCAUAUUUGAGGGGGUUUCGGCAAAAUGGGAGUUUGGAUUUAAGACAGCUUAUGGGCUAUUAAGUUCUCAGAUAAACGACAAGAUCAAUAUGUCACCCUCGUUUGAUAAAAAGCUUUCAGACCCACGCAACAUCCUCAAUCACAUGUAAUAGUGAUAUACCGACUUCAAUAUCAAAAUAUGUAACAUUUAUUUUAAAUAAAAAGAAAGAAACUUCAAUAAUUCAACAACAUACAGUAAUGUACUGUUGCCAAAGAAUGCUAUUGAUUGGAAAACUAAAAUCGGGUUGGAGGUCUGGCAUUCUGGCGAAAGAAACACACACGAUUCUUCUGAAGCCAAAUAUACUUUGAUUUAAA